rnacentral:rRNA from 1 species
CCUACGGGAGGCAGCAGUGGGGGAUAUUGCACAAUGGGGGAAACCCUGAUGCAGCGACGCCGCGUGUGGGAAGACGGUCCUCUGGAUUGUAAACCACUGUCCCCAGGGACGAAGAUGACGGUACCUGGGGAGGACGCUCCGGCUAACUACGUGCCAGCAGCCGCGGUAAUACGGAGGAUCCGAGCGUUAUCCGGAUUUAUUGGGUUUAAAGGGAGCGUAGGUGGGACUGCAAGUUGGGUGUCAAAUCUACCGGCUCAACCGGUAGCCGCACUCAAAACUGCAGUUCUUGAGUGAAGUAGAGGCAGGCGGAAUUCCUAGUGUAGCGGUGAAAUGCGUAGAUAUUAGGAGGAACACCAGUGGCGAAGGCGGCCUGCUGGGCUUUGACUGACGCUGAGGCUCGAAAGUGUGGGGAGCAAACAGGAUUAGAUACCCGGGUAGUC